ACUUUGCUCUCUCUGCCCACUCCCCUUUUUAAGCUGCUCCAGGAAAGGCAGAAGCCCCAAGUUUGCCCAACUGGGCAGAGGGAUCCUCCUCCCAUCGUCACUGUUUCAGGGAGAAGUCAUACAUCGGUAACCAGGAGUGAUCAGAUCUACUACAUGCCAGUAAUAGAUCUGAUAGGUAAUUGCAUCAAGAAGCAGACAAAUGGGUUGAAAUUAUUAAAAACCAAAAUAAAAAAGACUGAUAGAAAAACAA